CGCCCAUUAGCUCAGUUGGUUAGAGCGUGGUGCUAAUAACGCCAAGGUCGCAGGUUCGAGACCUGCAUGGGCCA
rnacentral:tRNA from 1 species